UAAUAACUGCCGCCGGGUAGAGAGUAUUACACUCGAUUGCACAUCAUUAGGUCUUUGAAGAUGUGCCGUCGGGUGUUUUUUUUCG
rnacentral:ncRNA from 1 species